GUUGUAUGGUUAAGUGACUAAGCGUACACGGUGGAUGCCUAGGCAAUCAGAGGCGAAGAAGGACGUGCUAAUCUGCGAAAAGCUUGGAUGAGUUGAUAAGAAGCGUUUAAUCCAAGAUAUCCGAAUGGGGAAACCCAGUAGAUGAAGAAUCUACUAUCAAUAGAUGAAUACAUAGUCUGUUGAGGCAAACCGGGAGAACUGAAACAUCUAAGUACCCCGAGGAAAAGAAAUCAACCGAGAUUUUGUCAGUAGCGGCGAGCGAAAGCGAAAGAGCCAGCAAGUGAUAGCAGCAAAGACAGAAGAAUUGGCUGGGAAGCCAAGCGACACAGGGUGAUAGCCCCGUAUUUUAAGUUUAUGUUGUGGUACUAAACUUGCAACAAGUAGGGCGGGACACGAGAAAUCCUGUUUGAAGAUGGGGGGACCAUCCUCCAAGGCUAAAUACUCCUGAUUGACCGAUAGUGAACCAGUACUGUGAAGGAAAGGCGAAAAGAACCCCAGUGAGGGGAGUGAAAUAGAACCUGAAACCGUGUACGUACAAGCAGUGGGAGCCCUUUUGGGUGACUGCGUACCUUUUGUAUAAUGGGUCAGCGACUUAUAUUUUGUAGCGAGGUUAACUGAAUAAGGGAGCCGAAGGGAAACCGAGUCUUAACUGGGCGGUGAGUUGCAAGGUAUAGACCCGAAACCCGGUGAUCUAGCCAUGGGCAGGUUGAAGGUUGGGUAACACUAACUGGAGGACCGAACCGACUAAUGUUGAAAAAUUAGCGGAUGACUUGUGGCUGGGGGUGAAAGGCCAAUCAAACCGGGAGAUAGCUGGUUCUCCCCGAAAUCUAUUUAGGUAGAGCCUUAUGUGAAUACCUUCGGGGGUAGAGCACUGUUUCGGCUAGGGGUUCAUCCCGGAUUACCAACCCGAUGCAAACUGCGAAUACCGAAGAGUAAUGCAUAGGAGACACACAGUGGGUGCUAACGUCCAUCGUGGAGAGGGAAACAACCCAGACCGCCAGCUAAGGUCCCAAAGUCUAUAUUAAGUGGGAAACGAAGUGGGAAGGCUUAGACAGCUAGGAUGUUGGCUUAGAAGCAGCCACCAUUUAAAGAAAGCGUAAUAGCUCACUAGUCGAGUCGGCCUGCGCGGAAGAUGUAACGGGGCUAAAAUAUAGCACCGAAGCUGCGGCAUCAGGCGUAUCACAAAUACGCCUUACGAUUAACAACAUCGAAUGAAGUGAAACGGAAUAAGAUGUUGGUCAAGCACCCAACACGUUGAGUUGGCAUAAAGUGCGGAUAGAAAUCAGAGGAAUAUUUGUGAUACGCCUGUUGGGUAGGGGAGCGUUGUGUAAGUCGAUGAAGGUGUAUUGAGAAGUAUGCUGGAGAUAUCACAAGUGCGAAUGCUGACAUAAGUAACGAUAAAACGAGUGAAAAACUCGUUCGCCGGAAGACCAAGGGU
rnacentral:rRNA from 1 species